AAUCAACAGCUGCUACACUUACUUCAACUAUACUCUCUUUGAAUGAAUUUGAAAGUACAGCUGUUAGUGCAUCCACAAUAUCAGCAGCAACCACUGAAGUGCCCACAACUACUGCAAAUACAGUUUCAAUCAAUAUUUCAGCUUCUACAGAGUCUACAGCUUCAACAGCAUCUACAGCUUCUACAGCAUCUACAGAGUCUACAGUUUCUACAGCUUCUACUGCAUCUACAGCUUCUACAGUUUCUACAGCAUCUACUGCAUCUACAGAGACUACAGCUUCUACAGCAUCUACAGUUUCUACAGCAUCUACAGCUUCUUCAGUUUCUACAGCAUCUACUGCAUCUACAGAGACUACAGCUUCUACACCAUCUACAGCAUCUACAGAGUCUACAGUUUCUACAGCUUCUACAGCAUCUACAGCUUCUACAGCAUCUACUGCAUCUACAACUUUCACAACUACUGCAAAAAUACCUGAAGUGAAAACUGAUCUGGUGUUUCGUUCUUUUGAUACAUUUAUAGAUGCACUAAGCGAUCAAAACUCGGUGGAGUUCAAGAAUAGGUCUAAGCUUGUUAUUGAUCAGCUUGAAGGAGUUUACAGACCCAAAUAUGCAAACUUCCUCAGAGUGACUGUCAUAGAAUUCAGAGCUGGGUCAAUCAUCACAACAACAGAAAUGUUCUUCAGCCUUAACCAACCUGUCCCAUCUGUUCAAGAGAUUUCAAACACCCUCUUGACAGCAGUGAAUACAGGAGGUGUCAAUCCACUGAACAUAAUUCCUCAGUCAAUUUCAGUCAAUGGUUCAGUUUCAACUACAACUAUCGCUCCAACAGUGACUACAACUUCAAGCGGAUUAAAAAUUGAAUCAAGUCUGCUUCAAGCAACAUGCCUCAUUAUUAUGUCUAAGAUAUUAAGACAUUUCAUAUAGAUCCCUUAAUAAUAUAUCAACCAAACAUGAGAGUACAACUAGACAUGCUGUAACAAAUUAAACAAAGAGCAAAUGUAUUUAUUAUGUGAAAUAUAGUAUUUUUCAUUGUAGCACACUCAAAUAAUGGAAUAAGGCUAUAUAAAGAUAAGCUUGAUAAUGCAUUUUUUCUCAAGAAUAUAUUUGCAGAUAUUCGUUUAACAGCAGGCUGUUUUCUAUGAGGGAGAAGUCGAUCUUUUUCCUCAUGUAUUUCCUAAUGUAUAUUUUCAAAUGUAAACAUUGUAAAAACUGUUUGUUUAUUUGUUUUAAGGAUGAAUACUGGUUACACUUUGUCUAGUAAGUUGUAAUUGCAAUAUGUCAUAUUUUAUUUUAAUCAAAUAAAAAUAUUUAUUAAGUAUAUAUCGUCCAGAAUAUUUUGCUCUCAUGAAGAGAAUACUUACUGUAUGUAUUCUUACUGUAUCUACAGCUUCUUACUGUAUACUGUUCAAUGUUUAAAUGCAACUAGACUUUUUAUGUCUGAAAUUUUAUGUCAGAGUUUCUGUACUGUAAGUAAGCUUUCAUAAAGCAUUACA